GAGUGGGAAAGCAAAGGGAAAUGAGAAUGGAGAAAAGUAUUUUCUAGAUAAAGCAGUUGGAUUUGAUGGGUGAGCCAGGAGACCAGCAGCAGGGAGGGUGGGUGGUCCAAUGGGCAGAGUUAUGGCUAGGAAGUGAAGAGUCAAGAGCCCCUGUUUCACCCACAGUCCAUGACUGUAGGAUCCAAGGCAUGACCCCUUCCCACAGCAGUGCCCCUUUAAGAGAGGGAAAUGUGAUCAAAAGGGUAAGAAGGGUCCCUUGCUCCUGGAGGGGAACUGCUGGCCCGUCUGCCUGAUAGCCACUGGAGGCAGGCCUUGGUUAGGCCUUCCCACUGACACCCAGUGGGACGUGAUGGCAGAGCAGUUGGUGCUUUUGUCAACAUGCUGCUUCCAGAUCUUCAGGUUACUAUUAAAAUCCCACCAAACCCUGCCACUGGCGUCCGUCGGGCUUUGUGGAUUGAUUCAGAUUUAAGGUGCGCCCCUCUAGGCCUUAGCACUGGAGGUGGAAAGAGCAGAAGAGUAAAACUUGGUCUUGGGGUCCCCAAAUUCAGAGGGAGUGACCGCAACAGAGACAGAGUCUCACUCUGUUGCCCAGGCUGGUCUUGAACUCCGUGACUCAAUUGAUCCUCCUGCCUCAUCCUCCCAAAGUUCUGGGAUUAUAGGUGUGAGCCACUGCGCCCGGCCAAGAUACUUCUUUAAGUCCCACCAUGAUGCCUCAGCAAAGCUCGGCGGUCCUGUCAUCAGCAAAAGAAGGGUAAACACCAUUCUCAGGAUCUACUGAUUGUACUCUAACAUUUAACCAACUAUUAAAUGAAGUCUGGUGAAAAUUUUCAUAGGCAUAUUGGAUCAAUACCUAGUGAUAGCCAUGAUUUGUACCUUAGCCUGUGUCAAUUAGAUUUUUGGAAUACAUUGUUCAUACCCAUGUUCAUGGGCACAAAGUUUACAAUCAAAACAGUCAUUAUUAUAAAUAGUAAUUUGUGUAGUCAGUGGUAAUUUCAACAAAAUAAUAUGUAUAGUAAACAUCGUUUUCAAGAACAAAAAUUACCCAAAGAGCACAAAUACAUUCAAGAAAUAUUUUGAGGCUGAAACCCACAUGCUAACUCUUUUUGGGAGAAUAAUGAGAAAAACUUUCUUUCCAUCUACACACCAGGUCCCAUAGCUAAUAGUUGAUAAGUUUGCCUUGUUACAAAACUUAGAAUGAUAAGUGAUAUAUAUAUAUAAUGCAUAUGAAGUCGAUAAAUUAUAUUAUGUGCCCAAAAGAUAUAUAUAUUUCUAUGUAUACAUCUCUACUCAAGACAGAAAUAUAUGACUGAAUAAUUCUUCAACAGAAUGGAAUUGAACACAAAGGUGAUACCAAUUAAUUUAUGAAUUUUUUCCACUUUGCUAAGAAUAUUAGUGUUUGUUGCAUGUAUUAAAGUAUAUUUCCUUC